AGUGAACGCUGGCGGCAGGCCUAACACAUGCAAGUCGAGCGGCAGCGCGUCCGACCACCCUCGGGUGGUCGGAUGGCGGCGAGCGGCGGACGGGUGAGGAAUGCAUCGGAAUCUGCCUCGUUGUGGGGGAUAACGUAGGGAAACUUACGCUAAUACCGCAUACGACCUACGGGUGAAAGUGGGGGACCUUCGGGCCCCACGCGAUGAGAUGAGCCGAUGCCGGAUUAGCUAGUUGGCGGGGUAAAGGCCCACCAAGGCGACGAUCCGUAGCUGGUCUGAGAGGAUGAUCAGCCACACUGGAACUGAGACACGGUCCAGACUCCUACGGGAGGCAGCAGUGGGGAAUAUUGGACAAUGGGGGCAACCCUGAUCCAGCCAUGCCGCGUGUGUGAAGAAGGCCUCGGUUGUAAGACACUUUGUUGGGUAGAA
rnacentral:rRNA from 1 species